GCCUUCGUGGUGUAGUGGUCAGCACGCUCGACGCGUAUUCGAGAGGUCCGUGGUUCGAGUCCCGGCGAGGGCU
rnacentral:tRNA from 1 species